rnacentral:rRNA from 1 species
UACGAAGGGUUCAAGCGUUACUCGGAAUUACUGGGCGUAAAGGGUGCGUAGGUGGUUUGUUAAGUCUGCUGUGAAAUCCCCGGGCUCAACCUGGGAAUGGCAGUGGAUACUGGCAAGCUAGAGUCCGGAAGAGGAGAGUGGAAUUCCUGGUGUAGCGGUGAAAUGCGCAGAUAUCAGGAAGAACACCCGUGGCGAAGGCGGCUCUCUGGUACGUGACUGACGCUGAGACGCGAAAGCGUGGGGAGCGAACAGG